GUUGCCAGCAGCCGCGGUAAUACCGGCAGCCCGAGUGAUGGCCGAUCUUAUUGGGCCUAAAGCGUCCGUAGCUGGCUGCGCAAGUCUGUCGGGAAAUCCACCUGCUCAACAGGUGGGCGUCCGGCGGAACCAGUGUGGCUUGGGACCGGGAGGCCUGAGGGGUACGAUCGGGGUAGGAGUGAAAUCCUGUAAUCCCGCUCGGACCGCCGAUGGGGAAACCACCUCAGGAGAACGGAUCCGACAGUGAGGGACGAAAGCCAGGGUCUCGAACCGGAUUAGAAACCCUGGUAGUCC
rnacentral:rRNA from 1 species